ACUCCUACGGGAGGCAGCAGUGGGGAAUAUUGCACAAUGGGGGAAACCCUGAUGCAGCCAUGCCGCGUGUGUGAAGAAGGCCUUCGGGUUGUAAAGCACUUUCAGUAGGGAGGAAGGUAGUGUAGUUAACACCUGCAUUAUUUGUACGUUACCUACAGAAGAAGCACCGGCUAACUCCGUGCCAGCAGCCGCGGUAAUACGGAGGGUGCGAGCGUUAAUCGGAAUUACUGGGCGUAAAGCGCAUGCAGGCGGCCUGUUAAGUCAGAUGUGAAAGCCCGGGGCGUUAACCUCGGAAUUGCAUUUGAAACUGGCAGGCUAGAGUCUUGUAAGAGGGGUUAGAAUUUCGAGGUGUAGCGGUGAAAUGCGUAGAGAUCGU
rnacentral:rRNA from 1 species